rnacentral:rRNA from 1 species
AUUGAACGCUAGCGGGAUGCCUUACACAUGCAAGUCGAACGGCAGCAUAAGAGAGCUUGCUCUCUUGAUGGCGAGUGGCGAACGGGUGAGUAAUGUAUCGGAACGUGCCCAGUAGCGGGGGAUAACUACGCGAAAGGGUGGCUAAUACCGCAUGAGACCUGAGGGUGAAAGCGGGGGAUCGCAAGACCUCGCGCAAUUGGAGCGGCCGAUGCCCGAUUAGCUAGUUGGUGAGGUAAAGGCUCACCAAGGCGACGAUCGGUAGCUGGUCUGAGAGGACGACCAGCCACACUGGGACUGAGACACGGCCCAG